GUAUUUCCCCUAGCAAGCAUCAGUGACAGCCAGCACCAUGACGGGGUUGUCGUCAGUGUGAUGCUGCCUCAUUGACGAGUGGACUGUUGGCGGAGCAAGUCGCCAUCACCGUGAGAUUCCGUAUUAUGCCAAGUGAUUCUACUGCAGUUUGCUAAGAUGGCUGGGAACGGAUUGUUCCAGUAGAAUCACUUGGCAUAAAAACAGUGAGAAAAAACAAAUCGUUUUGGUGUGUGAAGUAUGUGGUGGUGCUGCAAACACAGUGAAGUGGGUGUUGCAAUUCUGCGGUUCCUGACGAAAGCUAGAGCGCGGAAAGUUUUUGUUUUUCCAACCGCGUUCUGUUUUAGCCUUGGUUCUAGCACAAACACAUGAACAAAGGCGUGGUGACGUGGUUGAUUUUUGUUGUCGACUGGUAGCACGCUGUGGGUAGGUGGUCGGUCGAUGAUUGCAUGCAUGUUUCUUCAUGUUCUUGCUCGGCAUGGAUGGUCGCGCUUUCGUUGAUUCCUCGGAUCGUACAUGCUCGUGUUGUCGCUCGGUUGAACGGUAAAUGCAAACAGGUUGAUGUGCAUGAUGGUAGAGGUGUUUGACUAUUGUGAAUGUUGCCGUAAAAUACUCGCGGCAUUGGUUGGUUGGGUUGGUUUUUUGCUCGGGUUUUUUGGUUGAGCAAAUUAAUGGCGUGUCGAACCGCCGAAAAUUAUUCUGCAUAAAGAAAAUGCAGGGACGUGUAGUGAAAACCGUCCAAGGUAAAGGCGUUGUUGGAUAACCGCCGAAAAUUUUUCUGCAUAAGGAAAAUGCAGGGACGUGUAAUGAAAACCGUCCAAGGAAACGGCAUUUUUGGAUAACCACCGAAAAUUAUUCUGCAUAAAGAAAAUGCAGCGAUGUGUAAAGGAACCCGUCUAAGGAAAUGGCGUUGCAUGAAAACUGCCGAAUGCUGUGCGUGAGGAAAAUGCAGGGACGUGUAAUGAAAACCGCCCAUAAAAAUUGCAUAUCGUAAAACAGUUUAAAAUUCGAAGUACGCAAUGAAAACAUAUCUACUGAAAAUAUGUUGUAGAACCUCUUUCGAACUCGUUUUGUAGAAUAUAUUUUCGUAUAAUGAAGGACAUUUGUGUGUUAUAUAUGGUCCAUCUGUACCAUCACAUUGAAGCAUUGAAAGUGGAGUUGUAUGAUAUACGGAAUCUUUAGUCUGAUAAAUCUCAAAUUCGUUAAUCUUGUUUUUUGUAAUGUUUUUUUUUUUGCAAUCGUGAAUAACGAUUGAUUUGAGUGGGAGAAAAACAGGGCCGGCUACAUAACGAGACGUGCGCUUGAAGGAGAGAAGACGCAUCACCCAACUGCGUGUGUUGUAGUUAUUUUUAUUGGAGCUCGGCAAAACCCCAUAGAUGAUCGGUUAGCAUUGCAAGUUAUCAAUCAAAUGAUAUAGGUUCGAUAUUAACAAAAGUGCGUUUACUAAACAAAAAAGUAAAUGUGGCCAUUCGUCUUAAUUCUUGUAUCUUGAAGUGUAUCUUGUUGCAUUGGUGCCAUAAGGAUGAAGAGAACGAAAUUGAGGG